ACCACCCAGAACUCCUCUUGAUGCUCAGGCGUCCCUGACCUAGGUUGAUGCCACUCGAGGUCAACACUGUCACAGGCUGCCGCUGAGCACGCAGAAGCUUCCAGAAGUCCGCCAGGAAUCAUCUCUCAAGGGUUUCUCAGAAGAGAAGUUACCUAAAGUCGCGAAACCCAGGUGUCCCCAGCACUUACUCUUGAUGGCCCUUACUCCUCGGGGACUCAGGAAGCUCAUUACGGUUAGGAGUACCUGGACCAGCUCCACAAAAAGGACCAUUGCUGGGUUACUCAUAGGGGUUCCUGGGUGCCGGAGUUAUGGCUGCCGUGUGGAGCUCUUAGGAUGAGCGCACUGCCAACCACGAUGCCCAUGCCCAUCAAGCCCACCACCAGGCCCAGGGCACAGACCGAAGUCUCCAUUGUCUCAGAUACCUGGACUGGCUCCUGCGUUUCUGAGGGAAAUGAACAGAUGCAGCUCAGAAUUCUUGAUACCUCUGAGUCCAGAGAGGGCCUGAAGACUCCUACUGAGCAGCCUCAGUAGAGCUCAACCUCUCUUGGGUAAGAAGAGGAGACACCAGCCCCCGACUAUACAGCAGGGAGUCCAGGGCUGCUCCAAGGAGGGUCCCUCAGCAGAGGGCAUCUGUCGCCCAUUCUGAGUGUGGACCAGGGGUCCUCCCAUCGUUGUAUCUCUGGAUCAAGGCUCUCAGGUUGUUCUUCAGGCUGACGAAGGCUCUCGGGUUGUUCUUCAGGCUGACAAUGUAGGGCAGAGCUUCUUGGGCGUCAAAUGCAUAAACCUUGCUGAACUCCCGGCAGGUCCCAGACCGUUUCCUCCCCGUCAAGAUCCACGUCGAACUGCUCAUCGCCAUCAGACGCGUACAUGCAUUCACCGGAUGGAUGUUGUGUCUGUACAAAUAUGUCAUACAUUGCUAUGUGUUCUGCUGUAGAAGCAAGAUAAAGAAAAAUGAGACCAAUAUAAGAACUAUUGUGUAAGUGGUAAGGCAGAGGAAUGGCUGGAUUUAUUAAUAAAGUCAGAAGAGGCCCAAAAAAAGGGGGAAUAGGGGAGGAGAAACAGCAGACAGGAGGCAGUGUGGGGUGUUGGGGAGAGGGAAGGAGAUAGAAUCUUCAGUCCAUCUGCCCCUGCCCACUCCCAGGUGGAACCCCAUGGAUCUGCAGGGAUCUGGGGCGGGGUUACAGAAGCCUCUGUUGAGCACUUCCUGAGUGCCAAGCCUGUUAAUAGGCUACAUGUUUGACGCAUAUUAAUGCUACAACAACCCUAGAUGCAACCAAGGAAACACAGAGAAGGUCGGUGACUUGCCUCAGGUCACACAGCAAUGCACAGCUAGGAGAGAGACUUUCACCUCCCCACAGCUCCGGGUUCUAGGACUGCAGGUGUGAAAUUAGAUGUUUAAACUUGUGGAGGUGGCAGGGCAGGCAUGCUAGUGUCCUUAUUACAGAAAAGGUGGGAAGCUCGCUGCAUUGUAGUGAUACAGUUGUUGAGUUUCUGUGUUAGUUCAUACAUUUGCACCUGCAGCAUGUGCUAAUUCUGUGACUCUGUAUUUUUUUUUUAAUCUUAAGCAUAUUAAAUCUAACAGAAUGGAUUUUGACAAUGGUUUCAAAUUUUAUUUUUUUUAAAUUUAAGUUGAUUUAAAGACCUUUUAAAAAUCUCUUUAAAAUGUUUGCUUUUGUUUUAAGUGGAAAUAUAGAAGU
ensembl:antisense BC051537 cDNA sequence BC051537